rfam:Melampsora larici-populina 98AG31 unplaced genomic scaffold MELLAscaffold_50, whole genome shotgun sequence.
GCUGAGAUGUCCGAGCGGUCUAAGGAGCUGGAUUCAAGUGUUACAACUUGCACUGAUAGUGUUUCCCAGUAGGGCAACCUGCGGGGGUUCGAAUCCCCCUUUCAGCA